ensembl:snoRNA K12D12.8 ncRNA
UGUCUAAAGGCGCGGCGCAACAUUUUUAAACUUUCCGAUGAUUUGUGAUUACUAAAAGGCGAAUCUGAGGCG